rnacentral:rRNA from 1 species
CCGCGGGAUUAGAGUUUGAUCCUGGCUCACGACGAACGCUGGCGGCGCGCUUAAUACGUGCCAGUCUAGCGAGAACCAUGGCUUCUGCCCUGGGGACAGCGGCCAACGGGGUGAGUAACACGUGGGUAAUCAACCCCCGACACCGGGAUAGCCCACGGAAACUUGGAUUAAUACCGGAUGCUCCCUCUGGCUUUCAAGCCGGCUGGAAAAGGGUAUCUUCAGCCUCCGGUCGGGGACGAGCCCGCGGCGGAUUAGCUUGUUGGUGAGGUAAAGGCUCACCAAGGAGACCAUCCGUAUCUGGUCUGACAGGACGAUCAUCCACACUGGGACUGAUACACGGCCCACACUCCUACGGGAGGCAGCGGUACGGAAUCUUGCGCAAUGGGCGAAAGCCUGACACAGCGACGCCUCGUGAGGGAAGAAGGCCUUCGGCGUUGUAAACCUCUUUCAGGAGGGACGAACCCCCUCGGGUUAAUAGCCCAGAGGGUGACGGUACCUCCACAAGAAGCCCCGGCUAACUACCUGCCAUCAGCCGCGGUAAUAGGUAUGGGGCAAGCGUUGUCCGGAUUUAUUGGGCGUAAAGAGCGUGUAGGCGGCCAAACAUGUCAGCUGUGAAAACUCGAGGCUCAACCUCCAGACGUCGGAUGACACCGUUUGGCUACAGUCCGGAAGAGGAGAGUGGAAUUCCCGGUGUAGCGGUGAAAUG